rnacentral:rRNA from 1 species
CAGGUGCUGCAUGGCUGUCGUCAGCUCGUGUCGUGAGAUGUUGGGUUAAGUCCGCAACGAGCGCAACCCUUGCCUUUAGUUGCCAGCAGUUCGGCUGGGCACUCUAAAGGGACUGCCGGUGUUAAACCGGAGGAAGGUGGGGAUGACGUCAAGUCCUCAUGGCCUUUAUGACCAGGGCUACACACGUACUACAAUGGCCGAUACAAAGGGCAGCGACACUGCGAGGUGAAGCCAAUCCCGUAAAAUACGGUCUCAGUCCGGAUUGGAGUCUGCAACUCGACUCCAUGAAGUUGGAAUCGCUAGUAAUCGUGGAUCAGCAUGCCACGGUGAAUACGUUCCCGGGCCUU